CCCGAGCAUCUUUCAAAUACAUGGAUUUUAGAGGAUUUUUAUGUAAAUUGAAAUAUCUCCUCCGCCGCCUCGUGCGUCCGCGAAGAUCAGAUGCCAGUGGCAACCGGCGAAAUCCCCGCGGCAACCGCCGGAUUCUAUGGAAAUCUCGCCGACGUCCGCCGGUAGCCGCCGCGGCCACCCGCCCUAGUCCCCCUACCAUCCCCCCCCCCCCCCCCCCCCCACACACACACACCAGAGCUCGCGCGCGCCGCUGUGAAUCAGCCAAUGACUUCCGGUUUCUCGCCCGACUCCGCCCAGUCUCCUCCCGGUUUUCCCCUCUCUGAGCUCGCCGAGAAGAUCUGCCGGCUGGAGAGCGGCGAGCACAAGGAGGAAGAAGCCGCCGCCGACGCAGAUGCGGUCGGCCUCUACCAUCUGAUGAUCAACGAGAGAACUGAGGCAGUUGGAGACACCAUAAUGGCAUCACCUCCAGUUUCUUCCUCAAGGCCACUGGAUCCUGCAUGGGUUCAUGCAAAAGUGAUUGGCAACUCAAAGAAUGCCUUGGCAUGUCUUCAUUUUUUUAACCGGAAUGUCCGAAGGAGGUCAUUCAAUGUAAUUAAGAUUGGAAGAAAAGGUUACAAGAAAAGUUUUACAUCA